AGAGGGGUAGGGUCUACAAUGCUGGGGAUAGCUGGUGGCAGGCAAACAAGGAGGCUGGAGUUAGAAGCUGAAAGCUCACAUCUAGAAACAACCACAAAACAGGGAGCAGAGAACACACCUGAAAUGGUGCCAGUCUUUCCUCAAGCUCCCAGUGUCUUCCUGAACAGGACUACCAUGUACUCAGUGACUAGAAUAUGGGGAGCACCUCAUUCAAACUGUCAUGUCAUUGUCUUAUUUUCUUUGAGACAGAGUCUCGCUGUGUAGCCCUGGCUGGCCUGGAACUUGCUGUAUAGACCAGCCUGGCCUCAGACUCACAGAGCUCUGCCUCUCUUUGUCUCUUAAGUGCUGGAAUUAAAGGUUUGUACAUUGGGCUGCUCAAGUGCACGUGAAAUGUUUCCUGCUGCACCCCAAACUCCUUUUCAUACUUAGAGCAGAGCCAAGCACUAUUCUGCCGAUGACAGUCCUUUGCAUUCCUUCCUUGGAGCAGUUCAUUACCUGUGCCUAUUAGCCCAGAAUGACAUGCUUGUGUUUAACUGGUUAAGAUGAUACUAUAUUUCCUUCGAUGUGGACAGUGAAACACACAGGAGGGAAUGCCAUGUGAAGAGAGGAGGCAGGCAGUGGAUUGGUGAAGAUGUCAGACAAGGAACAAUGGUUGCUGGCAAUGGCAGGACCAUGGGAGACCUGGGGGAGAUUUACCCAGAAUCUCCAUGGGAUGAGGUGUCUUGCCUAUAUAUAUGCUUGUGUACCAUGUGGGUGUCUGGUGCCCUCAGAAGCCAGAAAGGCAUGAGAUCCCUGGAACUGGAGUUACAGAUGGCUGUUAGUUGCCAUGUAUGUUCACCACGUGUGUGCCUGAUGCCCACAGAGGCCAGAAGAUGUUAGAUCCCCUUUGGCGAGUGUUACAGACAAUGGUGAGCCACCACCUCGGUACUGAGAACUGAACCCAGGUCCUCUUCAAGAGCAGCAAGUGCUCUUAACUCCUGACCCACCUCCCCAGUCCUUAUUUUUGUGUGUUUUGGGUUUUCAUUUGUUUGUUUUCAUUGAGACAGGGUCUCGUUGUGUAGAGUUGGUUGAUCUGGAAAGCUUUAUAAAAAUCAAGAUGGCCUUAUCCUCAGAGAAAUCCAACUAUCUCUGCCUUUGGAGUGAUGGGAUUAAAGGCAUU